rnacentral:lncRNA from 1 species
GCAUAGUACUGAUUGCAGUAGGAGUCGGUGGGCCUCGAGUAGGUGGGCCUCCGUAGGGAGCCAGCGUGGAUCGAGUGCGGGGCCUGGACUUCCCGCCCCCUCCGCACUGCAGACUCUGCGGUGAUUUAAAGGUGCCUGGCGGUGGUACGGGAUCCAACUGUAAAAUGUCAUCCCAGCUAGUGUGACAUCACCACAGUUUAGUGUGACACCCCCAGAGCUUGGGCAGUGUACGGGACGACAGUGCCUAGCAGAGGAGCUUCACUGCCGGUGAGGGAUUACCUCAGGUUAGGCUUUAAUGUUUCGUUGCCGUCUAGAGACGUUCUAGCAAUGUGACAUCUGUGUACCAUAUCUGGAAGUCUCCCUGUACGUCAAGAGCCCCUUAGGGGAGUCUCCCAUUGCCGCCGUGGGAACCUGUGUUUACAUUACGAGGAGAGAGAAUAGCUGUACUCUGAACUCAAACGCUCAAAACAUGCAGUGAGCGAAUGCUAGCAUAAUUUUCUUGCCUCUACCAGAAGGAAGGCUGGGUAUUUAGGAAACAGAACGCGUUGGGCACAACAUUCUGAGAAAAUGGACACAGAAAAUUAGGUUAUCCUAAUAGAAAAGCAGUUGCAUCUCCCAAAGUCAAGAGAUUCUGUAGGACUUCCGAUGUAUCUCCUGCUGUGUAAAAUAUUCAGGUUCCUGAAGUGGGGGACAUUUUUAGGGCAACUGUAAUUUCUUCAUUUUUUCCAUCCCACAAGUGCUGGAGGCAGCAGUGAUCUGAGCUCUAGAAAGUGACUGUCCGUCACCAUCGAAACUUCCUUCUACUACUUAAAGUCCUCACAUUGGGCUGACCUGGGAAACAUGAAGAUAAAAAGAGUGGGUAAACAUGCCUGCUUGAUGAGCCAGAAAAAAAGGCAGAAACCUGUGGUCUGGGUAGAACAGAUCCUGCUCAGAAUGUAUAAACCAGGAAAAGUUGUUCUGGCCCCUCAUCUGGUUUCAUGAAGGACAAUAUCUAGCAUGAGAGUGACAGGGGUUAGAAUAAUGGACAUUUUGGGGACUGGGUCCUAGCAGAAAUGAUGGAAUAAUGGAACAGGAGUUUGGAUGAAUGGGCAUAUUAUGGGAUUAAAGAAGAUUUGAAUACAAGCUUUCCUAAUAAAUGAAAGGGGAGGUGAAACUAGAGCAUGCUGAUGGCUGCACAGCAUUGUGAAUGCACUAAAUGCACUAACUGUCCACUUUAAAAUGUUUAGUAAUAUGUCGAUUUUACCUAAAUAAAAAAAAGGAAGCAACAU